rnacentral:sRNA from 1 species
GCUGGGUGUGGUGGUGCAUGCCUGUAAUCCCAGCAGCUUGGGAGGCUGAGGCAGGAGGAUGGCGAGUUCAAAACCAGCCUCAGCAAUUUAGCGAGGCACUAAGCAACUCAGUGAGACCCUGUCUCUA